UAUUACAAUUUUAUUCGCCAGGGGACUACGAGCGUAAGCUUAAAACCCAAAGGACUUGGCGGUGCCCUACACCUCCUAGAGGAGCCUGUUCUAUAAUCGAUGAUCCACGUUAUACCUCACCGUUUCUUGCCAAACCCGCCUAUAUACCGCCGUCUCCAACUUACCCUAUGAAGGAUUAACAGUAGGUUUAAAGAUCACUCAUCAGAACGUCAGGUCAAGGUGUAGCGAAUGAAACGGGAAGAAAUGGGCUACAUUUUCUACCUUAGAUCACACGGAUAAUCAAUAUGAAACCUGAUUAUGAAGGAGGAUUUAGCAGUAAAAAGAAACCAACAUGUUCUUUUUAAGUCGGACCUAGGGCGCGUACACA
rnacentral:rRNA from 1 species